GCGGGUAUAGCUCAAUGGCAGAGUCACUGGCUUCCACCCAGAAGACGAAGGUUCGAUUCCUUCUAUCCGCU
rnacentral:tRNA from 1 species